CAAUUAAAGCGGCCACGCCGCCCAUGGGCGGCGUGAGGGUCCGAAGCCCCUAUAAACAGUUGACGGGUUG
rnacentral:ribozyme from 2 species